ncrna:unclassified sequences Bacilli-1 RNA
AUUCACAGCAAUGUGAACGUAUAGCAACAGUCACGCUAUAUGGUUUUGGCAGAACUAAAAACUGUU